GAUGAACGCUGGCGGCGUGCCUAAUACAUGCAAGUCGAGCGAACGGACGAGAAGCUUGCUUCUCUGAUGUUAGCGGCGGACGGGUGAGUAACACGUGGAUAACCUACCUAUAAGACUGGGAUAACUUCGGGAAACCGGAGCUAAUACCGGAUAAUAUUUUGAACCGCAUGGUUCAAAAGUGAAAGACGGUCUUGCUGUCACUUAUAGAUGGAUCCGCGCUGCAUUAGCUAGUUGGUAAGGUAACGGCUUACCAAGGCAACGAUGCAUAGCCGACCUGAGAGGGUGAUCGGCCACACUGGAACUGAGACACGGUCCAGACUCCUACGAGAGGCAGCAGUAGGGAAUCUUCCGCAAUAGGCGAAAGCCUGACGGAGCAACGCCGCGUGAGUGAUGAAGGUCUUCGGAUCGUAAAACUCUGUUAUUAGGGAAAAACAUAUGUGUAAGUAACUGUGCACAUCUUGACGGUACCUAAUCAGAAAGCCACGGCUAACUACGUG
rnacentral:rRNA from 1 species